ACUGCUCAGUAACACGUGGACAACCUACCCAAGAGUCAGGGAUAACCCCGGGAAACUGGGGAUAAUACCUGAUAGGCCACGACAUCUGGAAUUGAGUUGUGGUUUAAACGUAAGGCUCUUGGAUGGGUCUGCGGCGGAUUAGGUUGUUGCCGGUGUAACGUACCAGCAAGCCUGUAAUCCGUACGGGUUGUGGGAGCAAGAGCCCGGAGAUGGAUUCUGAGACACGAAUCCAGGCCCUACGGGGCGCAGCAGGCGCGAAAACUCUACAAUGCAGGCAACUGCGAUAGGGGAACAUCGAGUGGCACCCACCAUGGGUGUCUGUCCAAUCGUCUAAAAAACGAUUGUCAGCAAGGGCCGGGCAAGACCGGUGCCAGCCGCCGCGGUAAUACCGGCGGCUCGAGUGGUGGCCGAUAUUAUUGAGUCUAAAGGGUCCGUAGCCGGCUUUGCAAGUCCCCUGGGAAAUCCAGCGGCUUAACCGUUGGGCUUUCAUGGGAUACUACAUUGCUUGGGACUGGGAGAGGUAGGAGGUACUCAGGGGGUAGGGGUGAAAUCCUGUAAUCCUUUGGGGACCACCGGUGGCGAAGGCGUCCUACCAGAACAGGUCCGACGGUGAGGGACGAAAGCUAGGGGCACGAACCGGAUUAGAUACCCGGGUAGUCCUAGCCGUAAACGAUGCUCGCUAGGUGUCACGGCAGUCGUGAAUUGUCGUGGUGCCGUAGGGAAGCCGUGAAGCGAGCCACUUGGGAAGUACGACCGCAAGGUUGAAACUUAAAGGAAUUGGCGGGGGAGCAC
rnacentral:rRNA from 2 species